CUGUUUUAUGCAGUGUCCACACAAAUUGCUUGGUCGAACUAAAAGAACGGUACGAAAGUGCUAAUUAAUGCUCGUGCAUUGAUUAACGCUUUUUUGCGUUAUGCUCUUUAACAAUCUGGAAAGCUGACUAGUAAAUUCAAUCGAAAGAUUGAUUUUAAAAAAUGUUUUUAUCUUCGGAUAAAAACGAGUUCUCAAAACAACACACAUUCAAGUGUCUUGUAUCGAGUCCGGCGAAAAACCAAUGUUUAAUAUUUUCUUGAUCGGAUUAUUAAGCACAAACCUUGGUUAGUUGAACAUACAAGACCUCUUGGGGUUGUAU
rnacentral:misc_RNA from 1 species